CACAGAAUCAAAGAACCAUAGAGCUAGAAGGGGCUAGAGGGGCAUCUAGUUCAACAUCCUACAAUGCAGUUGCCAUGGUCGGAACUGGGGAAAGCCAGAAGCGAAGUUGAAUGAAAUGCCAAGGCAAAGGAGUUUGGCGAGAGAUCUGGCCGUGGUGCCUUUUGCUUCCCUCCUGAGUCACCCUGAGAGCAAACGGGUUGCUGUGAGUAUGGCAAAUUGAGAGCAAAGCAAAGAGUACCUUCAGACCAUCGCUAGUCUUGGGUGGGAUUCAGGCACAUAAUACCCAUUCUGCAUCUGUAAGAAACUGAUGCGGUGGUCCCUACACUUUGGAACUCCUUGCCGUUUGAUAUCUUGCAGGCAGCUUCACUGUACUCUUUUUGAAGAAGAAGAAGAAGAAGAAGUAGUAGUAGUAGUAGUUUGGAUUUGAUAUCCCGCUUUAUCACUACCCGAAGGAGUCUCAAAGCGGCUCACAUUCUCCUUUCUGUGAGGUGAGUGGGGCUGAGAGACUUCAGAGAAGUGUGACUGGCCCAAGGUCACCCAGCAGCUGCAUGUGGAGGAGCGGAGACGCAAACCUGGUUCCCCAGAUUACAAGACUACUGCUCUUAACCACUACACCACACUGGCUCUUUAGAGAGAAAACAUUUUAAGUAAGCACCUUUUUUGGCACCUACCGUAUUUUUCGCUCCAUAAGACAUACUUUUUUCCUCCUAAAAAGAGAAAUGUCUGUGUGUCUCAUGGAGCGAAUGCCUAUGGAUGGCAGGGGGAUCCUGCUGCAGUUGCGAGCAGAGGAUCCACGGUUCCCCUUCCUUCCCUCCUCCGUGGCUCACUUUGACGCAGCAAAGCGGGAGAGGAGCCGCUUACAUGGGUGUAAGCGGCUCCUGUCUGGUUGGCUGCUUUAAAGGUACCGUGCUCUCUUUCCCUCCCUCCUCCCCGCUCAGUUCGCUGAAAAGCUCCUUCUCCACACACCCCAUGUGUGCUCCUUGUCCCUUCAGUACUUAAACCCUUCUCCCGCAUUAUUAGCAGCCUCCUUCUCCACACACUCAACACGUGCUCCUUGUCCCUUGAGUGCUUUUCCUUCCCUCCCCACUUAAAAUGUGGUUACAAAGCACAAGUCCACAUGGAUCCUCAGGAUUUUUGCAUUGGGUCGCCCCAAAUUCACCAUCAGAUCACAUAGCAUGUCCAUGGCUACAGCCUGCACCAAAAAAAUCACGCACCCACUGUUGCCUGGGGCCACAGUGGCGCAAAAACAUGGUUACAAAGCACGGCUCCACAUGGAUCCUCAGGAUUUUUGCAUUGGGCUACCCCAAACUCACUGUCAAAUCACAUGUCUGUGGCCACAGCAUGAACCACAAAAAUUAUACAUCCACUGUUUCGUUCAGAAUAUUUUUUUUCUUUUCCUCCUCUAAAAACAAGGUGUGUCUUAUGGUCCCGAAGGAUGUACUGAAGGAUGGUACAAAAUAUGCCCCCUGUGGGGAAAGCUGAUAGUUUUCCAGGACUUCUGAAUUUCUGUAAUACACUAUGGAAAUAAGAGAGAGCUGGAGACACCUGUCCUUGUUCUCCGUUGCUCUCCUGCCAUAGUUACAUUCGCCUAGGGAUUGAAACAACGCAUUAGGAUGAAAAUGGUAAGGUGUUUAUGGAACGUACAGAGAUACCUUCUGUUUAAAACAGGAGACCAGUAAGACUCUGCUCACAAGGCGACCGGAGCCCACAUACUGCAGGCUCAGGAGGGAAUUGGAACCUACAGGUGGGACAACUUUAAUAAGCAGCUAUAUGUUAGCUGGCCUGGCAUUACAGGGAUGAUGGAGUUUGGUCAGAAUUGGACUCCCGUCACAAAUCCCCAUAUGCUGUGGGCUAGUCCUGGAUGCACCUUGGAAGGGUGGUAUGGUGGGGGUGGAGGCGGCUAUUUGACUGUGGCCCAGAUGUAAUAGGAAACCAUGUUUUGGGGAGGAUUCCAGAUUCAAUCUCCGCCAUAUCCUGGUAAGGCUGGGAGAAAUCCUUGCCUGUGGCAAAGGACGGUAUCAGCCAGUCAGAGCAGACGAUACUGAAUUAGAUGGACCAAUCAACUGACUUUGUAUAAGGCAGCGAGCAUCACAUGAGCUGCAGUGUGCCUUGCAUGCUCCUCUCUUCCCCUUCCUCUUUUCCAGCUGUUUUGCUAUGGCCACACUGAGGAAUGGCGAGGGGAAGUGUGCAAGCCUUGGGGGCUCAUUUUCAUAAUAUUUGUAGUAUGCUCAAGUUCAUAAUGAUAAAUCAUGGUUUAGCUAAAUCAUGCUAAACGCAUUUUCAUGAUGCGAAACCAUCACUAUGUCUGAAUGUAGGCAUAAUGUCCAUACCUGUAAGAUAUUUGAGAGCUUCAAAUGAGGUUUCUUCAUAUUCAUUCAGAAACAUCUGAAUCUGCUGCAUACUGAUUCUCAGAUCAGAUUCUUUUAAUUCAUAAGGAAUGUUCCAAGCUGUCCAGGUCAGAGUGGGGGGAAAGUGAGUCUGCAAGACAGCAAGCUUUCUUCUUCUGAUGGCAAACAAUAAAAUGCCAUUCAAUGCUAAUAGGCUACGCUGAAACAAAACUAUAGUGAAGCCCAGGCAUAUGUCUCAGUAUUGGAUCCAAGAGGGAGAUAUUUAUCUUUAAUUAACUUCCCUGACAGUUCACCGGUGUGUUCCAGGUCUUACAUUAAUUUGAGCCGCUAAUGUUAAAUAUUAUUUAAUGUGCCCCUCAGCUGUCAUUUGAAAGCUGCUGAGCUCAAAACUGAACAGCUGCAUUCUGAUGGACACAGAAAAGCCACAAGUGCCUCUGGUUAAUUUGAACAGAAGCUGCCUAUACUGUAUGGCCACCUAGGAAAUCUGAGCAAAAUAGACCCAAGUUUGUAACCACAUAAAAAUACUCCCAUUUGUUAUUUGAGGUGCUUUGGGCAGCAAAAACGGCCCAGUGAGUGACAUACCGAGGAAAUCUUCAAUAAAUCUAAGCCCCCGCUUAAUUGCACAGACUGACACAAUGAUUGGUGCAAUGGUUGUGCCAUUACUGGCAUGGGGUCAAAAGCUGUUGCCAGUGCCUGUUUAAUCCAUGCUGUGCUGUUCCCUAGUUUAGAGGUGCAGCACAUAUACGUUGAGAGCAUCAGUGUGGUGUUGUGGACAGCGCAGUAGAUCAGGGAGAUCCACUUUAAAUUCCCCACUCGGGAAUAUGGAUGGGUGAAUCUGUCCCUUUAGGUUUCUAAUAUUUCCAGUCUUAAAUGCAGUUCUUCACUGCCUCUAGGGAUCCCAGUUUGGGGGCCUCACAAGAGCCCAAGAAGAGCCUGCUGGAUCAGCCAAUGGCCCAUCUAGUCCAGAAUCCUGUUCUCAUAAUGGUCAACCAGAUGCCUGAGCGCAACUCGCAAGUAAGACUUGAACACAACUCUUGCCUUCUGUGGUUUCCAGCAACUGGCCUUGCGAGGCAUUACUGCCUCUGACCAUGGAAUCUCUGGCUCAGGUUUAGAAUUGGGGACCCGGGUCUGGGCCCAGCACCUCAUCUGCUUGCACUGCCAUUUUUUUUGAAAAAACCUGGCUGUACACUCCUCCUCUGGGUCAGAGUUUGAGCUGCUGCUCAGGGUGUGGGCAGUGAAAGAUGCAAAUUGCCGCCUUGUUCAACUGAAAGGCAGUUGUUUAAGAAAUCUCACCUGCCAUGGGAUCAGUACCUGGUGACAAGACAAGAAUGAGAGCUGCGAAGGAUUUGGAUUCAUGGCAACUUCUAACAAGGUCAAAUGUUGGGGGUUCAAUAUAUAUCUCCCCAUAUUGUCUAUGAUGAACCGCUGGGUGGCCGGGGUGAUUUUAAGAGACUGGAUGUAGAUGUUAAUAAUCUUGUCUGUUUCCCCUAAAGUGUUACUCAGGCUGAAAUCAGUAGAGCAUGGGACUUUCUCCUCCUGCACAAAGCCAGCCAUUUCUUCUGACAUUCUGUACAGUAAUCAACGGUAAAGGCUCGCCAAGAAGCCACCACCAUCCCUGAAGAUAAGAAGACAUCCCCAAUGAGGUCAGUGUAUCAAAUUCCUGGCAAGCGUGCUGCUUCCGUCCACCUAUCCUUCUUGCCUCCUAAGCCACUGAUCAGCUUUUCAGCCCUGUCCAGCUUCUGAGAGCUUACGUCAAUGCUGUUCUCAAGUUCUUUCUUCCGGUUAUUCAGUUCUUCCAGCUCAUCAUUUAGCUUCUGGAGGCAGUCAAUCACCUUCUUGAGUUCUGCUCAUUUCGUAUUGAGCUCCUGCAUUUGAACAGCAAGCAAACCUUCAGCCUCCCUGAGUCGUUCACGUUUUGGGGCCACCACCUUUGCGACACGGUCGUACACUUCCACGGCUCUCACUUCUUUGCACAAGCCUUCGCCGAGGAUGAGACAUUCUUUAUGACAGCUGGCUGGAAGUCCGAAUGGUGCCCAUUGGACUUUGGGGGCAGAAUGCAGGAGAGUCAAGAGGAGUGGGGAGUUAGAGCCAAUGAUAGGCAAAGUCUAUAACAGCAGCCCUGGGGCUAAAGAGGAGCAGGAGCAGGUGGGGGCUGGCUAAGGACAGGCUUUGCUUGGUAGGACGGUGCCCCACUUACCCAGAUGAACUAAACUCUACUGCUUGAAUGUCUUGCUAUACAGUGGUACCUUGGGUUACAUACACUUAAGGUUACAUAUGCUUCAGGUUACACACUCCGCUAAACUAGAAAUAGUGCUUCAGGUUAAGAACUUUGCUUCAGGAUAAGAACAGAAAUCGUGCUCCGGCGGCGUGGCGGCAGCAGGAGGCCCCAUUAGCUAAAGUGGUGCUUCAGGUUAAGAACAGAGCUCUGGAACGAAUUAAGUACUUAACCCGAGGGUACCACUGUAUAAUAUAAAGUGAUACGAGGACAAUGCUCAAUAUCAACAAAGAAGCACAUGACAACCCCUCCCAAUAAAGGGUUUUUGGUUGUUGUUGUUGUUGAUUUACCCCAUCAAGGCUUUCCCAUCACCAUAGUUCCAGCCCUACAUCUGCUAAAACUUCAUUGUUUUUCCUGGUCAUGCCUGAAAGGGUGACGGAAUGUUGAGAACAAGCUCUUACAUUCAUUGAUUUGCGAUUGGAAAAGAUAUACAUAUUGUUCUUUAACCAGUCUUUCAAAAGUGGGACACAAAAAUCCCAAAUCUAAACUGUCCAAUUCAACCUUAUUAAACAAAGCCACAGGCAUAUGAUUAACAAAGGCAUCAAGAAUAAUUUCUCCCUCUUCUUUUUUAAUUAAAGAAGGGAGGUUUCAUUUAUUUAUUUAUUUAAACAAAUUAUUCACACAUUACGAGGCCAUAAAUGCAAUGGAUUACCUUGACUCCAGGAGGAAUGCUUGGCUCCUCCUUUCCAUUCCGAAUGUUCCCUGGUUUGCUGGCUAAGCAAAUGCCGCCAUUCAGAGGAAUACCCAGACACAGCUUACCCAUCGUGCCAGGCUCUGACCCCCAGGAAACAAGGCUGCGAGUUGGCGGCCAGCAGCUGGGAAAUUCCCGUGCCAGCCGCUUGGAUUAGCCGGCUUUCCCGCUAUCUCUUUCUUUGAAUUCUGGCCAAUACAGAUUUGGCCCCAGCCAAAUCCAACCUACACCUGGAAUCAAUAAAGAUGUGGCCUAAUUUACAUCCCAUAACAUCCAAUUUUUUCACCUAACUUACCCCUUUUUCCUGUUGAUUCACAUCAACCAAAAUACCCUCUGUGCCCCAGAUAUAUAACCUUCAUGUAGGAUUGUGAUGUGAGCUGACAUCCCUGGCUUGAACCUGUAUCUGAGCAACCAAACAGCAGAGGAGAGGCAGUUGAAAGUUUUGGCAGCAGGGGUGCCAACUUGAAUAAAAUGGGGGGCGGGGCGGGAGGUAAGUGGUCCAUGCACACCAUUGGUGGUCCACGCACACCAUUUGAAUGGCAAUGCCUUUCUGCAUGUUCCGUGGUUCGUGGGCUAAGGAAAUGGUGCCCUUCGGAGAAAUGCUUGGCUCCUCCUUUCCUUUCCGCCUGUUCCGUGGUUUGUGGGCGAAGAAAUGGCGCCCUUCGGAGGAAUGCUUGGCUCCUCCUUUCCGUUCCGAAUGUUCCCUGGUUCGCUGGCUAAGCAAAUGCCGCCAUUCAGAGGAAUACCCAGACACAGCUUUCCCAUCGUGCCAGGCUCUGACCCCCAGGAAACAAGGCUGCGACUAGGUGGCUGGCAGCUGGGAAAUUCCGUUCCGGAGGUCCGGUCUUAAAACAAAGUGGACUUAAAACAAGGCGUGCUUUCCUAUAGAAAGUAAUUGAAAAUGGAUUGAUCUGUUCUAGACAAUGAAAAACACCCCCUAAAACAGCAAUUUAACACGAAUUUUACUGUCUAACGAGACCAUUGAUCCAUGAAAUGAAGGC